rnacentral:rRNA from 1 species
GACGAACGCUGGCGGCGUGCCUAAUACAUGCAAGUAGAACGCUGAAGGAGGAGCUUGCUUCUCUGGAUGAGUUGCGAACGGGUGAGUAACGCGUAGGUAACCUGCCUGGUAGCGGGGGAUAACUAUUGGAAACGAUAGCUAAUACCGCAUAAUAGCAGUUAUUGCAUGAUAACUGUUUGAAAGGUGCAAUUGCACCACUACCAGAUGGACCUGCGUUGUAUUAGCUAGUUGGUGGGGUAACGGCUCACCAAGGCGACGAUACAUAGCCGACCUGAGAGGGUGAUCGGCCACACUGGGACUGAGACACGGCCCAGACUCCUACGGGAGGCAGCAGUAGGGAAUCUUCGGCAAUGGACGGAAGUCUGACCGAGCAACGCCGCGUGAGUGAAGAAGGUUUUCGGAUCGUAAAGCUCUGUUGUAAGAGAAGAACGAGUGUGAGAGUGGAAAGUUCACACUGGACGGUAUCUACAGA